AUCUUCCGCAAUGGACGAAAGUCUGACGGAGCAACGCCGCGUGAGUGAUGAAGGCUUUCGGAUCGUAAAACUCUGUUGUUAGGGAAGAACAAGUACCGUUCGAAUAGGGCGGCACCUUGACGGUACCUAACCAGAAAGCCACGGCUAACUACGUGCCAGCAGCCGCGGUAAUACGUAGGUGGCAAGCGUUGUCCGGAAUUAUUGGGCGUAAAGCGCGGGCAGGCGGUUUCUUAAGUCUGAGGUGGAAGCCCCCGGCUCAACCGGGGAGGGUCAUUGGAAACUGGGGAACUUGGGUGCAGAAGAGGUGAGUGGAAUUCCACGUGUAGCGGUGAAAUGCGUAGAGAUGUGGAGGAACACCAGUGGCGAAGGCGACUCUCUGGUCUGUAACUGACGCUAAGGCGCGAAAGCGUGGGGAGCGAACAG
rnacentral:rRNA from 1 species